UACGUAGGGACCAAGCGUUGUCCGGAAUCAUUGGGCGUAAAGAGCGUGUAGGCGGCUUGUUAAGUCUUGUGUGAAAUCUCGGGGCUCAACCCCGAGCGGUCGUGGGAAACUGGUUGGCUAGAGUGCGGGAGAGGAGAGUGGAAUUCCUGGUGUAGCGGUGAAAUGCGCAGAUAUCAGGAAGAACACCGGUGGCGAAGGCGGCCCACUGGGCCGGUACUGACGCUGAGGUGCGAAAGCGUGGGGAGCAAACAGG
rnacentral:rRNA from 1 species